UAUAUACUCCCUCUGUCCGGAAAUACUUGUCAUCAAAAUGGAUAAAACAGAUGUAUCUAGAUGUAUUUUAGUUUAGAUACAUCCCUUUUUGUCCAUUUUGAUGACAAGUAUUUUCGGACGGAGGGAGUAUAAU
rnacentral:pre_miRNA from 1 species